rnacentral:lncRNA from 1 species
CGAGAUCCCCCUUCUAUCAACUUCAUCCACUGAUUCCUCAGCUCCACAGCAUCCGCGAGUCCACGAUCAUCGCCCGGCCGUCCGCCACCGCCCAGCCAAGAUCAGCUCCAGCUCCCGUGUCCGUGAAACCUCCCAGCGGUCGUCCGGAAGAGAUCGCGUUCCUCCACCAAUUCCGCCUCCUCCAGCGAUGCAACCAUUUCCAUCUCCAGCAUCCCGAUCAACGCCCCUUCUUCCGCCCGUUUCACACGCCUCCCAGCUUCCUCCAUCUUCGUUCUUCAGCAUGUGAUCCCGCCUACAGCCGUCCGUGAGCAGCGUCCCAGGAUCCCAGCAUCCGAAGAUCCUGCCGCAGCUCUCAUCCAUUUGAACCUCCCAGACCUCAGCCUCCCUUGCACGAUCCUCGGCGUCCGUUCUCAACGCCGGAUCCGCCCGCAGCCUCCUUCACAGCGUCCGUGUGCAGCCUAUCCUUCCGCAAGCCAUUCCUGGAUCUGCGCCUGCUCCUCUUCCGCCCAUCUCACGCCCCAUUCGCUCGUAAUCCCAGCAUCCUGAUCCGCCCGAGAUGCAGCCCUUCCGUCGAGUGCAAAGAGGGGGAUUGAAUGCCAACUAUAAAGCUCUCUCUGUUGGGAGAGGCAAG